CAAGUAGGACAAAUAAUCGCGGCUGCCGUGCCGCCUUUGGCAGGCCGGCAGGUGAGGAAAGUCCGGGCUUCACAGGGCAGGAUGCCGGAUAACGUCCGGUGGAGGCGACUCCAAGGAAAGUGCAACAGAAAUAUACCGCCCGCAGGCAAAAGAGAGGGCUUUGCCGGAAUUUUUGCCUGCGAGGUAAGGGUGGAAGGGCAGUGUAAGAGACUACCGCCUGACCGGUAACGGGCAGGGCACAUGUAAACCCCAUCCGAAGCAAGACCAAACAGAAAGCGCAGAGCCGGCCCGGCGAGCUUUCAGGUAGGCCGCUUGAGGCUGCCGGUAACGGCAGUCCUAGAUAGAUGAUUAUUCAACGACAUAACCCGGCUUAUCGUCCUGCUUGAUAA
rnacentral:RNase_P_RNA from 2 species